rnacentral:rRNA from 1 species
UCGAGGUUCGACUAAGCCAUGCCAGUCGAAUGCCGCAAGGCAUGGCGUACUGCUCAGUAACACGUGGACAACCUACCCUUAGGACUGGGAUAACCCCGGGAAACUGGGAAUAAUCCCCGAUAGUCCUCGAAGGCUGGAAUGCAUCGAGGGCGAAAGCUCCGGCGCCUAAGGAUGGGUCUGCGGCCUAUCAGGUAGCAGUGGGUGUAGCGUACCUACUAGCCUACGACGGGUACGGGUUGUGAGAGCAAGAGCCCGGAGAUGGAUUCUGAGACACGAAUCCCGGCCCUACGGGGUGCAGCAGGCGCGAAAACUUUACAAUGCUGGCAACAGCGAUAAGGGAACCUCGAGUGCCAGGUUACAAAUCUGGCUGUCGAGAUGCCUAAAAAGCAUUUCAUAGCAAGGGCCGGGCAAGACCGGUGCCAGCCGCCGCGGUAACACCGGCGGCUCUAGUGGUAACCGUUAUUAUUGGGUCUAAAGGGUCUGUAGCCGGCCGGAUAAGUCUCUUGGGAAAUCUGGCAGCUCUAUUGUCAUGCUAUCAAGAGAUACUGUCUGG